rnacentral:tRNA from 1 species
GUCUGGUUGGCUCAGUUGGUGGAGUGUGCAGCUCGGUCUUGGGGUUGUGGGUUCAAGCCCCACAUUGGAUA